GCAAGUCGAACGGUAACAGGGCCCUUCGGGGUGCUGACGAGUGGCGGACGGGUGAGUAAUACGUAGGAAUCUGCCCAAUAGUGGGGGACAACCCGGGGAAACUCGGGCUAAUACCGCAUACGCCCUACGGGGGAAAGCGGGGGAUCUUCGGACCUCGCGCUACUGGAUGAGCCUACGUCGGAUUAGCUUGUUGGUGGGGUAAUGGCCUACCAAGGCGACGAUCCGUAGCUGGUCUGAGAGGACGAUCAGCCACACUGGGACUGAGACACGGCCCAGACUCCUACGGGAGGCAGCAGUGGGGAAUAUUGGACAAUGGGCGAAAGCCUGAUCCAGCAAUGCCGCGUGUGUGAAGAAGGCCUGCGGGUUGUAAAGCACUUUCAGUUGGGAGGAAAAGCAGUGGGUCAAUACCCCGCUGUCUUGACAUAACCAACAGAAGAAGCACCGGCUAACUCUGUGCCAGCAGCCGCGGUAAUACAGAGGGUGCAAGCGUUAAUCGGAAUUACUGGGCGUAAAGCGCGCGUAGGCGGUUUAGUAAGUCGGAUGUGAAAGCCC
rnacentral:rRNA from 1 species